rnacentral:piRNA from 1 species
UAACCAAUCAGACAAGUGCCUUAAACUAAAA